AGAACGAACGCUGGCGGCAUGCCUAAUACAUGCAAGUCGAACGAACACUUCGGUGUUAGUGGCGCACGGGUGCGUAACGCGUGGGAAUCUGCCCUUGGGUUCGGAAUAACAGUUGGAAACGACUGCUAAUACCGGAUGAUAUCGAAAGAUCAAAGAUUUAUCGCCCAGGGAUGAGCCCGCGUAGGAUUAGCUAGUUGGUGAGGUAAAGGCUCACCAAGGCGACGAUCCUUAGCUGGUCUGAGAGGAUGAGUCAGCCACACUGGGACUGAGACACGGCCCAGACCUCCGUACGGGAGGCGAGCCAGUAAGGGGAAUA
rnacentral:rRNA from 1 species